AGAAACGAACGCUGGCGCAGGCCUAAUACAUGCAAGUCGAGCGCGCCCYUGUGGUGAGCGGCGGACGGGUUAGUAACGCGUGGGAACGUGCCCUUCUCUAAGGAAUAGCCUCUGGAAACGGAGAGUAAUACCUUAUACGCCCUUCGGGGGAAAGAUUUAUCGGAGAAGGAUCGGCCCGCGUUAGAUUAGAUAGNUUGGUGGGGUAACGGCCUACCAAGUCUACGAUCUAUAGCUGGUUUUAGAGGAUGAUCAGCAACACUGGGACUGAGACACGGCCCAGACUCCUACGGGAGGCAGCAGUAGGGAAUCUUGGACAAUGGGGGCAACCCUGAUCCAGCCAUGCCGCGUGAGUGAAGAAGGCCUUAGGGUCGUAAAGCUCUUUCGCCUGUGAUGAUAAUGACAGUAGCAGGUAAAGAAACCCCGGCUAACUCCGUGCCAGCAGCCGCGGUAAUACGGAGGGGGUUAGCGUUGUUCGGAAUUACUGGGCGUAAAGCGCGCGUAGGCGGAUUGGAAAGUUAGAGGUGAAAUCCCGGGGCUCAACCCCGGAACUGCCUUUAAAACUCCCAGUCUUGAGUUCGAGAGAGGUGAGUGGAAUUCCAAGUGUAGAGGUGAAAUUCGUAGAUAUUUGGAGGAACACCAGUGGCGAAGGCGGCUCACUGGCUCGAUACUGACGCUGAGGUGCGAAAGUGUGGGGAGCAAACAGGAUUAGAUACCCUGGUAGUCCACACCGUAAACGAUGAAUGCCAGUCGUCGGGUAGUAUACUAUUCGGUGACACACCUAACGGAUUAAGCAUUCCGCCUGGGGGAGUACGGUCGCAAGAUUAAACUCAAAUGANUUGACGGA
rnacentral:rRNA from 1 species